GUGCCAGCCGCCGCGGUAAUACGGAGGGUGCAAGCGUUGUUCGGAUUUACUGGGCGUAAAGAGCGUGUAGGCGGUUUAGCAAGUCAGAUGUGAAAGCCCUGGGCUUAACCCGGGAAGUGCAUUUGAAACUGCUUCACUAGAGUAUGGGAGAGGAGAUUGGAAUUCCUGGUGUAGAGGUGAAAUUCGUAGAUAUCAGGAGGAACACCCGUGGCGAAGGCGAUUCUCUGGACCAAUACUGACGCUGAGACGCGAAAGCGUGGGGAGCAAACAGGAUUAGAUACCCCAGUAGUCC
rnacentral:rRNA from 1 species